GAUGAAGAACGUAGCGAAAUGCGAUAAGUAGUGUGAAUUGCAGAAUUCCGUGAAUCAUCGAAUCUUUGAACGCACAUUGCGCCCCCUGGCAUUCCGGGGGGCAUGCCUGUCCGAGCGUCAUUUCUGCCCUCCAGCCCGGCUGGGUGUUGGGCGCUGUCCCCCCGGGGACACGCCCCAAAGGCAGUGGCGGCGCCGCGUCGGGUCCUCGAGCGUAUGGGGCUUUGUCACCCGCUCGGGACGGACUCGUCGGCGCUGGUCUUCCUCCAGGCGACCCUUCGGGGCUCGUCUUCCUUCGGUUGACCUCGGAUCAGGUAGGGUUACCCGCUGAACUUAAGCAUAUCAAUAAGCGGAGGA
rnacentral:misc_RNA from 1 species